rnacentral:rRNA from 1 species
CCCUUAGACGUUCUGGGCCGCACGCGCGCUACACUGACACAGGCAACGAGCUUUCCUUUACCGAAAGGUAUGGGUAAUCUUUUGAAACUGUGUCGUGCUGGGGAUAGAUCCUUGCAAUUUUUGAUCUUAAACGAGGAAUUCCUAGUAAGCGCGAGUCAUCAACUCGCGUUGAUUACGUCCCUGCCCUUUGUACACACCGCCCGUCGCUACUACCGAUUGAAUGGCGUAGUGAGGCCUCAGGAUCCGCGCUUAAUGUGUGGAGAAUUUGGACAAACUACGUCAUUUAGAGGAAGUAAAAGUCGUAACA